rnacentral:rRNA from 1 species
UACGUAGGGGGCUAGCGUUGUCCGGAUUUACUGGGCGUAAAGAGCGCGCAGGCGGUCGUUCAAGUCGAGUGUGAAAGCCCCCGGCUCAACUGGGGAGGGUCACUCGAUACUGAUCGACUCGAAGGCAGGAGAGGGAAGCGGAAUUCCCGGUGUAGUGGUGAAAUGCGUAGAUAUCGGGAGGAACACCAGUGGCGAAGGCGGCUUUCUGGCCUGCUCUUGACGCUGAGGCGCGAAAGCUAGGGUAGCAAACGGG